rnacentral:lncRNA from 1 species
UAGGGAUAUUAAAUAUACUAGAAGAGAAAUAGAACAGAAAGGUCUUUGGUAGUGAUGUCAUUUAGGUGAAAUUAUUUUUCAACUCAUUUACUGUUGUUACCAUGCUAUCUUAAUAAGGAAAGAGUUUUUCAAAAUAUUCCACCAUUUAAGUCAGAUGAAAUCAAAUUUAGAAGGUGUAAUGAGUUAAACCAAUUUUGGAACUGACACUUCUUCACUACUUUCCAUACUGGUAAAUAUUCCUACGUAACACAUGGGACAAUCCCACGCAUUAUAGUAGUACUGGUGCAUGUUCUAGACUUUUAGGAAUAACCUAAACAUACAGGAAAUUUAAUUAUAUGUAAAUAUAUUGGUGUUGCUUUUCAUUGAACAGUGUCAGAAAAAAUGGACACAGACAUUUCCUUUCUUCAUGCCAAGUACUACAUCACCAUGACUCGACACAUGUCAAAGGCAGGGUAAUGGCAGAUCUUGUUGUCCAA